AUGCCCGUCGUCGACUCCCGUAAAAGGGUCGUCAAGGCGCGCGGCGUGGCUCCCUCGCGGCAGCCAUUGAUGGCCGCACGCGCAGGGCAGGUGGCGCGCAGGCGGCCAUGACCACGGUGGGUCACGUCAGCGGAGCUUCGCCUUCGGGGGGAAGGAAAAGUGGGCGCCGGAGGCAAGCCGAACCUACCGCCUCCGCACGCGAAUUCAAUGCGCCGGUCACGGGUUGGUUGGCGCCAUAAAGCCUCCCCCUUUCCCCCUCCCCCUCUUCUUUGCUCUUCCGUCCCACCCUCACCCUCUCUCUCCUCUCUCUCACUGUGCUUGCCUGGCUGCCUGCUUCGUCCUCGUCGAUUGGCCCUCCUCCUCGGAUCCCUCGCCGGACCCGAUCCAGCUCCGCCGACCGGCCUGCUGCUGUUCUCUCUGUCUGUCUCUCUCUGCGUGCGUGGGGGUGAUCCAAGGGGGCGAAGGAGGAGUGAAGGGGCGGAUGGAUCCGUCGGGCGCGUUCGCGCGGAGCUCCAGCAAUGUGUCGCUCGCGUCGCUGGUGAGGAGCGGGAGCGGCGGCAGCAGCGGGAGCAGCCGCGGGAGGGGCGGCGCCGGCGGGAGCCGGAGGAUGAUGCGCCGGGUGCUCCGCGGGGUCAUCACCUUCAUCUUCGCCAUCGCUGGCCUGUUCCUGGGAGCCGUCACCGGCGGGCUCAUCGGGCUGGCCACGGAGAGCGGCCUCUUCCGCGGCACCGGAAUCGGCGCCAUCACCGGGGCGCUGGUGUCCAUCGAGGUCGUCGACUCCUCCAUCCGCCUCUGGCGCUCCCGCCGGUCCGGGAUCUGGAGCAUCUUGUACGUGCUCAAUGUGAUCUACAGCCUCCUCACCGGCAGGCUCGUCCGUGAGAAGGUUGAUCCGGCAGUGCAGCGGGUGGUCCGCAGCCAGAUGAAUGCAGUCGACUCAUCGCAGUUCAGGGAGGCCCCUGACCUCUUCGAGAUCGAGGGAACCAACGGCAUGCCGAGGGCGUCCAUCGACAAACUGCCCGAGGGCACCAUCACCGAGGAGUAUAACCGGAAUGCCGUCGGCGACCUCUCCGGGUGCUCAGUAUGCCUGCAGGAUUUCCAGAUUGGGGAGAAGGUGCGGAGCUUGCCCGACUGCUUGCACGUGUUCCACGUGCCGUGCAUCGACGGCUGGCUGAUCAAGCAUGGAUCAUGCCCACUCUGCAGGAGGAAGCUCUAGAUCAUCGCCGUCAUCAUCAUCAUCAUCCGCGAUCGACGACCGACGAGGAACUUCUGUCUGCUGCUAUUAGAAAGGAUGCUCUGCUUGCUGCUUUGCAUGUCUGUGUGUUUGCGCUAUGCCUGUGUUGCUGUUGCUGCCGCUGCUAGGAGGCUGACAUAUCUAUAGAACGAACCCUAAAUUUAUAGAGCUCUUUUUUUGUCUUCUUUCUUUUUUGCAUUUUAAUUUUGAUCUCUCCUCGGCUGGUUGAUGUAAUAUAGUAGUACGUACCACCACCGAAAACUGAAAAAAAGCACUGGACCGGCUUGCGCUUCGUGUUGUUCUUCGGACUGAUGAACUCCUCAAUCAUCAUGUAAUAUUAUAUAUAUCACACUGCUAUUGUACAAUAUCAUGCGUGCAUGGGCUUUUCGAAA